rnacentral:rRNA from 1 species
AGAGUUUGAUCAUGGCUCAGAUUGAACGCUGGCGGAAUGCUUUACACAUGCAAGUCGAACGGCAGCACGGACUUCGGUCUGGUGGCGAGUGGCGAACGGGUGAGUAAUAUAUCGGAACGUAUCCAAUAAUGGGGGAUAACUAAUCGAAAGGUUGGCUAAUACCGCAUACGCCCUACGGGGGAAAGCUGGGGACCUUCGGGCCUGGCGUUAAUGGAGCGGCCGAUAUCUGAUUAGCUAGUUGGUGAGGUAAAGGCUCACCAAGGCGACGAUCAGUAGCUGGUCUGAGAGGACGACCAGCCACACUGGAACUGAGACACGGUCCAGACUCCUACGGGAGGCAGCAGUGGGGAAUUUUGGACAAUGGGCGAAAGCCUGAUCCAGCCAUUCCGCGUGAGUGAAGAAGGCCUUCGGGUUGUAAAGCUCUUUCGCAAGGGAAGAAAGAUUACUCUCUAACAUAGAGUGAUUAUGACGGUACCUUGAUAAGAAGCACCGGCUAACUACGUGCCAGCAGCCGCGGUAAUACGUAGGGUGCGAGCGUUAAUCGGAAUUACUGGGCGUAAAGCGUGCGCAGGCGGUUUUGUAAGUCAGAUGUGAAAUCCCCGAGCUCAACUUGGGAACUGCGUUUGAAACUACAAGACUAGAAUAUGUCAGAGGGGGGUAGAAUUCCACGUGUAGCAGUGAAAUGCGUAGAGAUGUGGAGGAAUACCAAUGGCGAAGGCAGCCCCCUGGGAUAAUAUUGACGCUCAUGCACGAAAGCGUGGGGAGCAAACAGGAUUAGAUACCCUGGUAGUCC